AUUGAACGCUGGCGGCAGGCCUAACACAUGCAAGUCGAACGAGUGGCGGACGGGUGAGUAAUGUUUGGGGAUCUAGCUGAUGGAGGGGGAUAACUACUGGAAACUGUAGCUAAUACCGCAUACCAUAGGAUGAACCCACGUGGGAUUAGCUAGUUGGUGGGGUAAAGGCUCACCAAGCCGACGAUCUCUAGCUGGUCUGAGAGGAUGACCGGCCACACUGGGACUGAGACACGGCCCAGACUCCUACGGGAGGCAGCAGUGGGGAAUAUUGCGCAAUGGGGGCAAGCCUGAUGCAGCCAUGCCGCGUGAAUGAAGAAGGCCUUCGGGUUGUAAAGUUCUUUCAGUGGGGAGGCGUUAACCGCAGAAGAAGCACCGGCUAACUCCGUGCCAGCAGCCGCGGUAAUAC
rnacentral:rRNA from 1 species